rnacentral:rRNA from 1 species
GAAGAAAUGGCACCCUUCUCAAAGUGAUAUAUGAUGAACUUCACGUAAUGUGGGACCCACAUACAAGCGACGGAGAUGGCCCAAUUCGUCCACACCAGGAGUCCAUGUCAUUGCAGACAACCACGCAAUUUGAAAUACAUAUUAUAUCUCUAGUUACCAUACUUAAUACCCCCCUCCAUCUCAAAAUAAGUGUCUCAACUCUAAUACUACUUUAUAUUAAAGUUAGUACAAAGUUGAGACAUUUAUUUUGGGAUGGAGGGAGUAUUAGUUUAGAGUAAGAGUUUGGAUAUGGAAAGGUUCGUCCUCGAAGAAGGUUUUCCUACUAUCUCCAAAUUCAACUAGAGUUUUUUUUCUUUUCCUCCAAGUUGUAAUUUUCUUUAUAAGCCCUCCAGAGUCGAUCAAUACGAUCAGGCAAGUUGAAUACAUUUUCCUACCAUGUCUUCUCUCUCAUGUGCCCCUUAUUAUUAUUACGCCCUAGGCGCUUAUCCAGCCUCGUCCACCAGUUCAGAACAAGUACUGUUUGAAAUAUUCCUUACAUGCGAUACUGUGAUGAUAAUAUUUCUCUAUGUAUUUAUGAGUUAUUUUUAUUGUCUUUGAACAUCAUCACUAAGAUUCUUGAAGCAAUAUUAGUUUCUCAUAUAAAUUAGACAAUGAUAAUAUUUCUCUAUUAUUUACGAUUUAUUUGUAUUGUCUUUGAACAUCAUCACUAACAUUCUAGAAGCAAUUUUAGUUUCUCAUAUAAAUUAGACAAUAAUUUCUUUUAGAAUAAUUUCAAAGGAAUUCAGUAAAUGGGUGCAAUAAUCAUAUAAGGAUCUUUGAAGUUGUCCGAGUUGGCAUUUUCUCUUAUAUUUGUAGGGCGCCACCGGGGUAGAGUGGGGGCUAAUAUUCACGCUGGCAAGUGAUAGGCUUGAAUUUCUACACAAGGACAGUGUUAUAAGGUAUACAUGAUGGAAGGUCAUUUACCAAGCAGGAGAAGAAGAGGAACACUUCUUGAUGUGAUAUGUGAUGAACUUGGUAUAAUGUGGGAGAGGGGGUGUGGAACAUACCAGUGAUGGAAUAGGCGCAAUCCGACGAUACUAGGAAUUUAGGUCGCUCUAGGAAACCAACCAAUUUGAGAUAGGUACUAUAUCUCUAGUUAUCCUAGACAAUAUUAG